rnacentral:lncRNA from 1 species
GACUGAGGUCUUUAUUAAAAAAUAUUCUAGAACAUCAGUUAGGAUCUUUCAGUAUGGUUCCAGUUAAGUUUUUAUUGGGCACGGAGGUGCUAAUAUAAUAUAAUUAUGGAACAACAUGUUGAAUGCAUUUACAUCUUCCAUCAAAGUCACUAAUGGAGCAAAAUAUGUGCAGUGUGUUAACGCUGAAAGAGAACUGAGUUGACAUGUCCUACGCAAACUGCAUACUUUCCUGAGCCGCAAAGGAAAGCUGGAGCAUGCCUGGUGCAUGGUCCUUGAGAGUCAAGUCCAGGAAGAAUUUUCUUCCAGGCAUAUGGUGAACCACCGUACUCAAGUUUCUGUCUUGACUGAAUCUGGGUGCUCUGGUUUCCUACCACAGUCCACAGGCAUACAGUUCAGAUGAAUUGAUGAUGAUAAUUUCCCUUUAAUGUGUGUGUGUGUGUGUGUGGGACUACCCUGUGAUGGAAUGGCAUCCCAUUCAGGGUGUACUGGCCCCAGCCUUUUGCCCAGCGACCAGAACAAGCGGUGAGUGAGUGAGUGAGUGAGUCAGUGAAGUUUUUUGAAUAUUCAUUGUAAGGGUGGAAAGAAUGGGCAGGUUUUUUGUCUGCAUUUGUGUUUUUCAUGCUGAGUCAUAGAAACAAUAUAAUGUUGCAUUUAUAAACCACCAUCACCUGUGUGAUUCACAUUUGGCGUAACUACUUGCUUUUGGACAUAACGUGUUUCAACAAAUGGAGGGCCUGGUGGGUUUGGCUGGGGUCUGCGGUGUGGUGGGUCUGAGGUUCAAGUCCUGCAUGGGGUGCCUUUCAAUGGACUGGCGUCCCGUCCUGGGUGUGUCCACACCCACUCCAGCCUGGUGCCCUGUGUUGCUGGGCUAGGCUCCAGUUUAUCAUGCCACACCCCACCCUUGGGGCAAAUGGUUGUAGCCAUUGUGUGUUUCUUCUACUGCUUCAUUACGACUGGAAAUUCAGUGUCGUCUGGAUAUGUUUGAGCUUCAAUAAAAGAAGCAACAUGUGGCA